rnacentral:rRNA from 1 species
ACCUAACAGCUAGCCCACCAAACAUUUCAACAACCCCUAUUAAUAACCCCUAAAUACCCCAGUAUUUAUUUUGAACAAACCAUUUUUCCCCCUUAGUAUAGGCGAUAGAAAAGGGCCUACGGCGCGAUAGAGAAAGUACCGCAAGGGAACGCUGAAAGAGAAGUGAAACAACCCAGUAAAGCCUAAAAAAGCAGAGAUUUAAGCUCGUACCUUUUGCAUCAUGAUUUAGCAAGUGUAACCCAAGCAAAGCGUACUUUAGUUUGACGUCCCGAAACUAGUGUGAGCUACUCCAAGACAGCCUAUCAAUAGGGCACACCCGUCUCUGUGGCAAAAGAGUGGGGGGAGCUUUGAGUAGAGGUGAUAAACCUACCGAACCUAGUCAUAGCUGGUUGUCCAAGAAAUGAAUAGAAGUUCAGCCUUUCGGCUUCUCUUUUCACCUUAGUCUGACCCCUAUGGAUGCACCAAAGAAACCAAAAGAGUUAGUCAAAGGGGGUACAGCCCCUUUGAAUCAAGACACAACUUUACCAGGAGGGUAAAGAUCAUAAUAACUAAAGCUAAAUGUUUGGGUGGGCCUAAAAGCAGCCAUUCCCCUAGAAAGCGUUAAAGCUCAGACAUGUAAUUAUUCUUCUUAUCCUGAUCACCAAAUCUUACCCCCCUAACCGUACUGGACCAUCCCAUGCCUGCAUGGGAGUGACUAUGCUGAAAUGAGUAAUAAGAGAGCUACCGGCUCUCUCCCUGCACACGUGUAAAUCGGAACGGACAACCCACCGAACCUUGACGGCCCCAAAUAAAGAGGGUAGUGGAUAAUAGACCAAAAAACUAGAAAAGUGUCCAAAAACA